rnacentral:rRNA from 1 species
GAGUUUGAUCGUGGCUCAGGAUGAACGCUGGCGGCGUGCUUAACACAUGCAAGUCGAACGAAGCGCCUUAUUUGAUUUUCUUCGGAACUGAAGAUUUGGUGACUGAGUGGCGGACGGGUGAGUAACGCGUGGGUAACCUGCCCUGUACAGGGGGAUAACAAUCAGAAAUGACUGCUAAUACCGCAUAAGACCACAGCACCGCAUGGUGCAGGGGUAAAAACUCCGGUGGUACAGGAUGGACCCGCGUCUGAUUAGCUGGUUGGUGAGGUAAACGGCUCACCAAGGCGACGAUCAGUAGCCGGCUUGAGAGAGUGAACGGCCACAUUGGGACUGAGACACGGCCCAAACUCCUACGGGAGGCAGCAGUGGGGAAUAUUGCACAAUGGGGGAAACCCUGAUGCAGCAACGCCGCGUGAGUGAAGAGUAUUUCGGUAUGUAAAGCUCUAUCAGCAGGGAAGAAAGUGACGGUACCUGACUAAGAAGCCCGGCUAACUACGUGCCAGCAGCCGCCGCGGUAAA